rnacentral:rRNA from 1 species
UGUGAUCCUUCUGCAGGUUCACCUACGGAAACCUUGUUACGACUUCUCCUUCCUCUAGAUGAUAAGGUUCAAGCAACUUCUCGCAACAGUGCAAGCACUGUCCGCGAUCCGAAGAUUUCACCGGACCAUCCAAUCGGUAGGAGCGACGGGCGGUGUGUACAAAGGGCAGGGACGUAAUCAACGCAAGCUGAUGACUUGCGCUUACUAGGAAUUCCUCGUUGAAGAUCAAUAAUUGCAAUGAUCUAUCCCCAUCACGAUGAAGUUUCAGAGAUUACCCAGACCUUUCGGACAAGGAUAUGCUCGUUGAAUNCAUCAGUGUAGCGCGCGUG